rnacentral:rRNA from 1 species
AGUGGGGGAUAACGUAGCGAAAGUUACGCUAAUACCGCAUAUGCCCUGAGGGGGAAAGGAGGGGAUCGUAAGACCUUUCGCUUUCGGAGUGGCCGAUAUCAGAUUAGCUAGUUGGUGGGGUAAAGGCCUACCAAGGCGACGAUCUGUAGCGGGUCUGAGAGGAUGAUCCGCCACACUGGGACCGAGACACGGCCCAGACUCCUACGGGAGGCAGCAGUGGGGAAUUUUGGACAAUGGGGGCAACCCUGAUCCAGCCAUGCCGCGUGAGUGAAGAAGGCCUUCGGGUUGUAAAGCUCUUUCGGACGGAAAGAAAUCCUAUUCGCUAAUACCGGGUGGGGAUGACGGUACCGUAAGAAGAAGCACCGGCUAACUACGUGCCAGCAGCCGCGGUAAUACGUAGGGUGCGAGCGUUAAUCGGAAUUACUGGGCGUAAAGCGUGCGCAGGCGGUUUUGUAAGACAGAUGUGAAAUCCCCGGGCUUAACCUGGGAACUGCAUUUGUGACUGCAAGGCUAGAGUGCGGCAGAGGGGGGUAGAAUUCCA